rnacentral:rRNA from 1 species
UACGGAGGGAGCUAGCGUUGUUCGGAAUUACUGGGCGUAAAGCGCGCGUAGGCGGCUUUGUAAGUUAGAGGUGAAAGCCCGGGGCUCAACCCCGGAAUUGCCUUUAAGACUGCAUCGCUUGAAUCCGGGAGAGGUGAGUGGAAUUCCGAGUGUAGAGGUGGAAUUCGUAGAUAUUCGGAAGAACACCAGUGGCGAAGGCGGCUCACUGGACCGGCAUUGACGCUGAGGUGCGAAAGCGUGGGGAGCAAACAGG